GAUUAACGCUAGCGGCAGGCCUAAUACAUGCAAGUCGAACGGGAUUUCGGGUAGCAAUAUCUGAAUGAGAGUGGCGCACGGGUGCGUAACACGUAUGCAAUCUACCUCUGACUGGGGAAUAGCCUUCCGAAAGGAAGAUUAAUACCGCAUAAAAUAAUGAAGUGGCAUCACUUUAUUAUCAAAACUCUGGUGGUCAGAGAUGAGCAUGCGUCCGAUAGCUAGUUGGCGGGGUAACGGCCCACCAAGGCGACGAUCGGUAGGGGGUCUGAGAGGAUGAUCCCCCANACUGGUACUGAGACACGGACCAGACUCCUACGGGAGGCAGCAGUAAGGAAUAUUGGACAAUGGU
rnacentral:rRNA from 1 species